rnacentral:sRNA from 1 species
AGUCCUUUAAAGAACCAAACUAGA